AAAGCCCCGCAAGGGGUAAGUAGAGUGGCAAACGGGUGAGUAACACGUGGGUGACCUGCCUUCGAGUGGGGGAUAACGUCUCGAAAGGGACGCUAAUACCGCAUGACAUCCUGCCUUUGAACAGGCGGUGAUCAAAGCUGGGGAUCGCAAGACCUAGCGCUCAAAGAGGGGCCCGCGCCUGAUUAGCUAGUUGGUGGGGUAACGGCUCACCAAGGCAACGAUCAGUAUCCGGCCUGAGAGGGCGGACGGACACACUGGGACUGAGACACGGCCCAGACUCCUACGGGAGGCAGCAGUGGGGAAUUGUUCGCAAUGGGCGCAAGCCUGACGACGCAACGCCGCGUGGAGGAUGAAGAUCUUCGGGUCGUAAACUCCUUUCGAUCGAGACGAAUAACUCCCGGGUGAACAAUCCGGAGGAAUGACGGUACCGAGAGAAGAAGCCCCGGCUAACUCCGUGCCAGCAGCCGCGGUAAUACGGGGGGGGCAAGCGUUGUUCGGAAUUACUGGGCGUAAAGGGCUUGUAGGUGGCCAACUAAGUCAGACGUGAAAUCCCUCGGCUUAACCGGGGAACUGCGUCUGAUACUGGAUGGCUCGAGUGUGGGAGAGGGAUGCGGAAUUCCAGGUGUAGCGGUGAAAUGCGUAGAUAUCUGGAGGAACACCGGUGGCGAAGGCGGCAUCCUGGACCAUAACUGACACUGAAAAGCGAAAGCCAGGGGAGCAAACGGGAUUAGAUACCCCGGUAGUCCUGGCCCUAAACGAUGAAUGCUUGGUGUGGCGGGUAUCGAUCCCUGCCGUG
rnacentral:rRNA from 1 species